AUUUUUAUGCCCCACCUACGAUAGUAGAGGGGCAUUAUGUUUUCUGGUCUGUGCGUCCGUUCGUUCGUUCGUUCGUCCGUUCGUUCGUCCGUCUGUCCCGCUUCAGGUUAAAGUUUUUGGUCGAGGUAGUUUUUGAUGAAGUUGAAGUCCAAUCGACUUCAAACUUGGUACACAUGUUCCCUAUGAUAUGAUCUUUCUAAUUUUAAUGCCAAAUUAGAGAUUUUACCCCAAUUUCACAGUCCACUGAACAUAGAAAAUGAUAGUGCGAGUGGGGCAUUCGUGUACUGAGGACACAUUCUUGUU
rnacentral:lncRNA from 1 species